rnacentral:rRNA from 1 species
CCUAGCGGCGGUCGGGUGAGUAACGCGUGGGAACGUGCCCUUUGCUACGGAAUAGUCCCGGGAAACUGGGUUUAAUACCGUAUGUGCCCUCCAUUUUGGUGAUGGUUGGGGAAAGAUUUAUCGGCAAAGGAUCGGCCCGCGUUGGAUUAGGUAGUUGGUGGGGUAAUGGCCUACCAAGCCGACGAUCCAUAGCUGGUUUGAGAGGAUGAUCAGCCACACUGGGACUGAGACACGGCCCAGACUCCUACGGGAGGCAGCAGUGGGGAAUCUUAGACAAUGGGGGCAACCCUGAUCUAGCCAUGCCGCGUGAGUGAUGAAGGCCUUAGGGUUGUAAAGCUCUUUCAGCUGGGAAGAUAAUGACGGUACCAGCAGAAGAAGCCCCGGCUAACUCCGUGCCAGCAGCCGCGGUAAUACGGAGGGUGCAAGCGUUGUCCGGAUUUAUUGGGUUUAAAGGGUGCGUAGGCGG